rnacentral:rRNA from 1 species
GUGGGGAAUAUUGGACAAUGGGCGAAAGCCUGAUCCAGCCAUGCCGCGUGUGUGAAGAAGGUCUUCGGAUUGUAAAGCACUUUAAGUUGGGAGGAAGGGCAGUAAGUUAAUACCUUGCUGUUUUGACGUUACCGACAGAAUAAGCACCGGCUAACUUCGUGCCAGCAGCCGCGGUAAUACGAAGGGUGCAAGCGUUAUUCGGAAUUACUGGGCGGAAAGCGCGCGUAGGUGGUUUUGUAAGUUGGAGGUGAAAUCCCCGGGCUCAACCUGGGAACUGCCUCCAAAACUGCAUGACUAGAGUACGGUAGAGGGUAGUGGAAUUUCCUGUGUAGCGGUGAAAUGCGUAGAGAUAGGAAGGAACACCAGUGGCGAAGGCGACUACCUGGACUGAUACUGACACUGAGGUGCGAAAGCGUGGGGAGCAAACAGGAUUAGAAACCCUAGUAGUCC